rnacentral:rRNA from 1 species
GUCUGCUCGCUCUAAUGAGCAGUCUGGCCUGCCCACUGAUAUAAUUUAAAGGGCCGCGGUAUACUGACCGUGCGAAGGUAGCAUAAUAAUUAGUCUUUUAAUUGAAGACCGGAAUGAAGGGUCGGACAAGAAGCAAUCUGUCUCAACUUUACAUAUUUAAAUUAACCUUUGAGUGAAAAGGCUCAAAUACACUCGAAGGACGACAAGACCCUAUAAAACUUUAUACACUAUGUGUGCCCCUCUAAUUAUAUGUACAAAGUUAGGCAUACAGAAAUGUAUUAUGUUGGGGCGACAGAAGUAUAACAAAUAACUGCUUUUGAUUCUCAAACAAUUAUAUUUGAAAAAUUGAUCCAUUUUUUUGAUCUCAAGAAAAAGUUACUUUAGGGAUAACAGCGUUAUUUUUUUUAAGAGUCCUUAUCGACAAAAAAGUUUGCGACCUCGAUGUUGAAUUAAGAUAACCUACAGGUGCAGCAGCCGUUUAGGUAGGUCUGUUCGACCUUUAAAAUCUUACAUGAUUUGAGUUCAAACCGGUGUGAG